ensembl:lncRNA
UUUAUGUACAACGUUGUCAACAAAUUUAGGUUGCUGUUACUCCCGUCCCUAUUGCAGAAUGCAGCCUUUUGACAGCAUGUACUAAAGUCGAUUUAAUCCAAACAUGCAUUUAGGGGCUCCUGAGUGGCGCAGUGGUCUAAGUCACAAGUGCAAGAGGUGUAGUACCUGGUUUGAAUCCAGGCUGCAUCACAUCAGGCUGUGAUUGGGAGUCCCAGAGUGCGGCGCACAGUUGUCCGGGUUUGGCCGAGGUAAAUAAGAAUUUGCUCUUAACUGACUUGUCUAGUUCAAGGAAGGUGAAAUACAUUUUAAAAACGUGUAAAUUUGUCCCCUCGUUUGGUGAUUGGUAUUUAGGCUGAGACAACCAAAAAGGCAGCAGACAGAGACCUACUGUAUGUAUUAGCAGGGAAGUUUGGUAGGGUGACCUGAUUUGUAACAAUUAACCAUUUUUUCUAACCCAAAAGUAUACGUUUCUAGAGGGGUGACAAUAAAUAGAACAAUUAUUUGGUUAGGGUGAGAUGCAGAUUGUCAUCUUGUCAUCAGGAGAUUUUAAUAUUUAGUCUGAUCAGUGGAACAAUUUAAUUCUUAACAAUGGGCUAAAAUAUGGUAAUUAGUGUGCUUGUCAGCAAGAACAUUCCUGUUAUUCCCCACACUUAUUUUAUUAUUCCACUUCUUCACAAUUUUGCCAUCAGAAAUGUAUUUUUGCAGCCGUUCAUGGACGUUUUGAAUAAGUCAUACAAAUAAGCAUUGGAUAUUAAAUGCUCCUAGAAUCAAAUAUAAUUUGACAUUUUAGUAUUGUGCACAUGCUAGGCAGACAUGGUAAGGGGACUCACAAAUCAUAAACACAUAUUUUGUCUAUGUAGAGUAAGAUCAUGGCAAGGAUCUUCAACAGGUAGGCAUGAACCACCUGAAUAUUGAUAUUCAUUAUAUUUUUCUUGAGGUUAGGUGAUUUAGAGAAAUUCAUUUUUAUAACAAGAACAUUUUCAAACACCUAGUACUUGGGAAACAUAGACCAGGCGUGGCCAACCCUCCUGGGGAGCAAGCAGGAUUUUCUUACAAAAUGCUUGUGUCUUUACUUUGCAAGCAGUCUAUGGCCAAGGAGACUGCAAUCUAUGAUUUGGUUACCCAUUGCCAACAACCAUUAAUACUAGCAGGGCUAUUUCCUGUGCAGAGCCUUGGGGUAGUGGUAACACUCCCUGGCAGGUAUCAUAUGGCAUCAUUUCCACCUGAGAACCGGGAUCAGUCCCUGCUUCCAACCUCCACACUGUUACUCCCAUUUGCCUGUCUUAUGUCAUUACUGUUUGAGUAAAGUGUCAAACCACCUAAAACAUAUUAGCAUAUUUUACAUUUAAUUCACCAAAAAUCUAAAAGUAGUCACAUUUUGUGUGUUCAUUUAAUGUUCCAAGAAUCCUGAAUACACCUAACCUGUGUUUUUUUUUUUUUUUUUAAAUGUCCCACCCUGGUCAUAGGCCUAAGCCAUGUAAAAAUAAGUCGAAUUGCAGGACUCGGAUCUACAGUCGCGCUGGUUUUGCUGUUGAGUAAGUAUGAGGGGUGAAUGUAGCACAUGGGGAUGGAUGUGUGUGCCUGAACUGUCCCCACUUGCACCAGCGAAUAGCUAGCUUUCUGCUUGGCGCUGACUGGUACUCGCUAAGCAAGCAGUGUGACAUCCUUAACAUUAGCAUUUAGCAGUCACUUCUUCUAAACCUGAAAUGGACAACUUCUACAUGAAUCUUCUCUUACCAGACUGGGUUCAAAUUACUUCUGUUUCCUUUUUUUCUGUCUGUCUAUUAUUUUACUGCUCUAGGGAUGUUAUUAUUGUUUAGAUAACCUUAUUUACUAUUAUGUAUUGAUCUUGACCCUUUUUAUGCGAUGUUGUUACGGUAUUCUUCCGGUGAAAGAGAGGCGGACCAAAAUGCAGUGUGGUUGAAGUUCAUGUUGUUGUUUUUUUUAUAAGAAAAACUAUACAUUAACAAACUACAAAAACAAGACCCGUGUAAACCGAACCAGUCCUAACUGGCGCAAAACACAGAGACAAUAUGGUUCCCAAUCAGAGACAACGAUAAACACCUGCCUCUGAUUGAGAACCACUCUAGGCAACCAUAGACUUUCCUAGACUACUUAACUAAAAACAAUCCCAUAAACUACAAAACCCCUAGACAAAACAAACCAUUUAAAUCACACCCUGGCCUAACCAAAAUAAUAAAGAGAACACAGAAUACUAAAACCAGGGCGUGACAGAUGUGCAAUGUAGAGAACACCGGAAGAAGAAUGAUCAUUUAAUGACCAUAGUGAAUUAUUGUAAUGAUUAUUUGUCAAUUAAUACCAUAAGGGAUGGGUUGCUAAUUGGCAAUUUGACACGAAUAGAAAAAUAUUCAUUCAUUAAUUCCAUUCAUUGUUCUGCAGUGAAAACAGGCAAAUACAGGUGUAUAUCCAAAUUGGACUUAAACGGGAUCGGUGUCCCUAAACCGGGACAUUUAUUGCUAAAGUGCGCUAAUGUGACUAGAAUGACGUAAGUAACAGACAACUAUCCAGGACAUAGACAUGUCUUAUAUGGGCAGAAAGCUGAAAUUCUUGUUAAUCUAACUGCAGUGUCGAAUUUACAGUAGCUAUUACAGUGACAAAAUACCAUGCUAUUGCUUGAGGAGAGUGCACAACAACAAAACACAUCACUGCAAGGUAAAUAAUGUACUUACAUUGAGGCCUGAUUUGUCAUCCUGAGGGUCCCAGAGAUAAAAUGUAGCAUAGUUUUGUUUGAUAAAAUCAAUUGUUAUAUUUAAAUGUAGGAACUGGGAUCUACAGUUCGGAUCCCUGCUGUCUGCCAUGCAAUGCUGACUCUCUCACCCUGAAAAUAACACGUUUUGAAAUCAGUCGAACACAACAGGCCAAACAAGCUGUGCAAACUAAAUGGAAACACAGGAUGUCUUAUAAAAGGGGUUGCAGCCUGCCGUGAAGCUUUCAUUCAUGUAUACAGGACCUGAGCCCUACGACCAUGCCUCAGGACUACCUGGCAUGAUGACUCCUUGCUGUCCCCAGUCCACCUGGCCGUGCUGCUGCUCCAGUUUCAACUUUUAUGCCUGAGGCUAUGGAACCAUGACCUGUUCACCGGACGUGCUACCUGUCCCAGACCUGCUGUUUUCAACUCUCUAGAGACAGCAGGAGCGGUAGAGAUACUCUCAAUGAUUGGCUAUGAAAAGCCAACUGACAUUUACUCCUGAGAUCGUUCUGUUAUAAUCUCCACCCGGCACAACCAGAAGAGGACUGGCCACCCCCCACAGCCUGGUUCUUCUCUAGCUUCAAUUAGUAGAACAUGCCUGACUAAUCCACCAGCCAUCAAAAAGAGAGCUGGCGCAAGCAAAGGCAGCAGCGCAGUCAUCAACUAUGUAUGGAGUUGGGGAAAACACAUGUGGACCUGAAAUGUGGUAACUGCAGUGGCCAAAACAAGAACAAGUUUGUGCUCUGGUAUUGUGCCUGGUGGACCAUGCACAAGCUCCACCACAAUCUGGACCUUCACUUCCUGAUCAUAGGCCACACCAAGUUUGUCCCUGACUGGUGCUUCGGCCUCAUCAAACAGCUCUUUAGAAAGACCAGAGUGAACACUUUGUAUGAGAUUGCUGGUGUUGUGAAGGACAGCACUGUGACGGGGUCAAUAUCCCACAGCUAGUUGGACUGGAGGAUGGCACGGUGCUGGUGGAAAGCUAUGGCUGUCAACAACACCUGACUCCGUACUUCAGGCCGCUGCCACAGAUCAAGCAAUACCAGCACUUCAGCUUUCAUGCUUUGGUGCCUGGUGUUGUCGCCAAGGAGCUUUCGGACUGUCGGCACCAGGUUUCAGCUGCUGCGUAACGCUGACAUCCUUCCCCUCAUAGAUGGUCUGCCUUCAAAAGCAUCAUCUGGACUGGACACAACUAGACAAACUAUAUUUUGGACAAGAUCAGGGACAAGAUCACAUGACCUGCAGCAAAAACAAGGGCAGAACAAAAACAGGCUCUCCGAAUAUAGAUUUCCUUGUUCAUGCGUGGUUUGGACGGACCAGUCAUCAGCACUAUCUGCAGUGCCUCUAUUCACAUGACUCUCUCCUAACACACAAGCCAGACGUUGCUGCUACUAUUUGUUUUUAUCCUGCUGCUCAACCACUUUACCCCUGAUUGUAUGCAUAUAACUACCUCGUCUAUCACUGAUAUCGUUAUUGAUAUUGUUCUUGUACAUACUGUAUAUUUGAUUUAUAUUGACACUAUUUCUGAUAUUGCUACUAUGCAAGUAACCAUUUGGCUGUACCAUUUACACCUUCUGUAGAGACCCUCCACUUAGCAAGACUUAGCAAAAUAUUGAUAUAUAAAAUGAAUAUUGAUAUGUUUGGUCAUAACAUGAUUUUGUGUUAUGUAUAAGUAUCAAGUGUCCACCACAUAAAUAUAUGGUGCAUGCAUCUGUUUAUAUACUGUACAUGUGCAAAAAAACAACUCACUCCAGUUUCAACAGGUUGCAUGGCCUUAACUUGUGUUUGGAAUACUAUGUGAUAAGUGCAUGUGUAACAGUAUAUAAAGUAUGCUAAUGUACUGGUGUGAAGGUAUUUGGGCAGUGGUGUAAAAUACUUUAAAGUGCUACUUAAGUAGUUUUUUGUGGUAUCUGGUAUACAUUACUAUUUAUAUAUUUUUUUUUAAUCUUUUCACUACAUUUGUAAAGAAAAUAAUUUACUUUUUACUACAUACAUUUUCCUUGACACCCAAAAGUACUUGUUACAUUUUGACAGGAAAAUUGUCCAAUUCUCUCACUUAUCAACAGAACAUCCCUGGUCAUCCCUACUGCCUCUGAUCUGGCAGACUCACUAAACACAAAUGCUCACAAAUGCUUUGUAAAUUAUGUCAGUGUUGGAGCAUGCCCCUGGCUAUCUAUCAAUAAAAAUGUAAAAAAUAAUUCAAUUCUGCCAUCUGGUUUUCUUAAUAUAAGGAAUUUGAAAUGGGUUAUAUUUGUAAUUUAACUUUUGAUACUUAAGUACAUUGUGCCCCUGGCUAUCUGUCAAUAAUAAAAACAAUUGUGCCGUCUGGUUUAA